AUGGCGGGCAUCGGGGCCAUGAUUGCCGCUGCACUUUUGAAGGAGGUGGUGCAGCAGAUUGGUUCGCUGGUGGGAGGUCAGAUUAGGCUGCAGAAGAACUUCCACAAGGACCUGAAGGAGAUGAAGGCUACCCUCGAGUCCAUUGAGGCGCUCCUCAAGGACGCUGAGGACGCCAACACCAACAAUUCCAUGCGUUUGUGGCUCAGUCGUCUUAAAGACGCGAUGUAUGGCAUCGCCGACAUGAUUGAUGAUUUUGAAGCAGGAACUGAGGCUGAGUCAACAUGCAAGCUCUCCAUCAAGAAACAUCUAGCAGGUAUGAUGCCUUGUUUCACAAUCGGGCCCAAGUUCACAAUGGCUAACAAGAUGAAGACGAUGAGAGAGGAACUGCAGGGGAUCACAGAUCAAUACCAGAAAUUCAUGUUAGUGCCGGGCACUAAUGCCAAUGAACCGAAUCUGAUACAAAUGCGUGAAACAUCAUCAACCAUUGAGGCAUCAGUCAUUGGGAGGAGCGAAGAGGAAAAUAAAAUAUGGGUUUCUUUAUCUGAAAGCAUAAUAGAAGAGCUCAUUGUCCUUGCUAUACACGGCAUUGGAGGCCUUGGCAAGACGACCUUGGCGAAAAUGAUUUACAAUAAUAAAACAAAAUUUGAAGACUAUGUCCGGGUAUGGAUUUAUGUGUCCGAGACAUUUGAUUUGAACAAAAUUGGCAAUUCUUUAAUAAGUCAACUGUCAGAGAAUGAGAGUCUGUACACUGAAAAGCAUAUGAUACACAGAUCACUUGCAAAGGUACUCACCAAUAAGAAGAUUCUUAUUAUUCUAGAUGAUCUGUGGGCGGAGGAUGAUUCCCAAUUGGAUAGUCUGAUUGCGAUGCUUAAGGCUGGAACGGGUAGCAAGGUGGUUGUUAUAGCAACCACACGCAAUGAGGAGAUUGCAAGGAAAAUUUCGGCCAUUCAUAGUCAAACAAAAAAAUUGACCAUUCCCCCACAUGAGCUAGCAUCACUGACGGAUGAGAUGUGCUGGACUAUAAUUAAGGAAAAAAGUGGGUUUGAAUCUAGAGAUGACAAAGAACAUUUGAAGCAUAUAGGGGAAGCCAUUGCAGCGAAGUGUGGAGGUGUGGCUUUAGCAGCUCAAUCAAUUGGACCCAUUUUGGAAACUAUGACCUAUAAUCAGUGGAAGAAAGUGAGAGACAGUGAUAUCUGGAAAGAAUCUGCUUCUUCUUCAGAUCCAAAAGAUAAAGCUGCAACACUGGUGCUUGCAUCCUUAAGGUUAAGCUAUACUUUUAUGCCUCCAUAUUUGAAGCUCUGCUUUUCCUAUUGGGCAAUCUUUCCAAAAGGAUGCAAGAUAUCUAAAGGUGAUCUAAUUCACCAGUGGAUUUCUCUUUCUUUUAUUGGGGCAACACCAACAUUCACCGCUUGGGAGCUCGGCGAGAUGUACAUUACUCAGCUUUCGAAGCUUUCCUUCCUUGAACAUUCGAAGGUAAUUGUGUGGGAAUUCAUACGACGCUUGUUUAUAUGGUGCACCUGUUUAUCCAAUAUUUUGGAGGUUAAUGCGUUUUACAACAUACUCAACUUAUCCACGUAA
rnacentral:rRNA from 1 species